rnacentral:rRNA from 1 species
UACGGGGGGAGCAAGCGUUGUUCGGAUUUACUGGGCGUAAAGGGCGCGUAGGCGGCACCGCAAGUCAGUUGUGAAAUCUCUGGGCUUAACCCAGAAAGGUCAACUGAUACUGCGGGGCUAGAGUGCAGAAGGGGCAACUGGAAUUCUCGGUGUAGCGGUGAAAUGCGUAGAUAUCGAGAGGAACACCUGCGGCGAAGGCGGGUUGCUGGGCUGACACUGACGCUGAGGCGCGAAAGCUAGGGGAGCGAACGGG